UCGGACGGGUGGUAACGCGUGAGAAUCGGCCUUCAGGAUGGGGACAACAGAGGGAAACCGCUGCUAAUACCCAAUAAGCCGAGAGGUAAAAAGCAAUGUGCCUGAAGAAGAGCUCGCGUCCGAUUAGUUAGUUGGUGGGGUAAAAGCCUACCAAGGCAGCGAUCGGUAGCUGGUCUGAGAGGAUGAGCAGCCACACUGGGACUGAGACACGGCCCAGACUCCUACGGGAGGCAGCAGUGGGGAAUUUUCCGCAAUGGGCGAAAGCCUGACGGAGCAAUACCGCGUGAGGGAGGAAGGCUUUUGGGUUGUAAACCUCUUUUAUCAAGGAAGAAGAAAGUGACGGUACUUGAAGAAUCAGCAUCGGCUAACUCCGUGCCAGCAGCCGCGGUAAUACGGAGGAUGCAAGCGUUAUCCGGAAUCAUUGGGCGUAAAGCGUCCGCAGGUGGUGGUUCAAGUCUGCUGUUAAAGACAGAAGCUCAACUUCUGAGCGGCAGUGGAAACUGGGCAACUAGAGUACGGUAGGGGUUGAGGGAAUUCCCAGUGUAGCGGUGAAAUGCGUAGAUAUUGGGAAGAACACCAGUGGCGAAGGCGCUCAACUGGCCGUAACU
rnacentral:rRNA from 1 species